ensembl:lncRNA
CUGCUCUGGAGCCACCAUGUGAUCCCAGGAAGACAGGACACAUUCUGCCAGCAUCCUUCAUAAGACUUUUCUUGACAGUGGGACAUGUCUGCUCCUGGCAACACCAAUCUACUUCAAUGAAGAUGACGGGCAUCAAAGAGACUCCAUAUCGAGUUUUUUUCUUUAUGGCAAAAGCUAGCCAUGUGGGCAAAGAAAUUGCUCUUGCCUGGACUGCCUGACUGUAUGCUGUAUAAAACGGACAUGUAGAAAAGUGACUGCUGAACUUGUCAAAACAAGAUGGGACAGUCCUUUAGGAUUCCUGCUUCAUGAAAGAGCCUAUCAGACAUUCUGCAGGAUACAGAGGAAAAUGACUGACAAACUGCCAAUAUAAGAAGGAUAGUUUCAAAUUUCCGGCUUCACUGAGAAGUCUGCCAGAUAUUUUAUGCCUAUCGGCUGAAGAUGGUUUCCCUAACAUUACAGAAGGACUUUGGGUGACUGUCCAGGCAGCCAGAUAGCUCUGUCAUUUCUAGAGUUUUGGAAGGUGCUUACAAUGCACUCAUUUACUUAGGUAAUAUUGUAUCAUUCUGGGAUCUUUGAUGGUGUUGAAGACUAGAUACUUAUAACUAUAGUUUUCCUUAGUUAUGACAAAAGAUAAAUUAGAUAUAAAACUUUAAACUCACAAAGAUAGGAUAGAUGAUAGAGCAUUCUCUUUAAUUUUGUCAAAUGCAAAUAGGCUAAAUAUUAUAAGUCUUGCUUGAUACCUGUUUUGUUAUAUGUAAAUUUACUAUGUUAAAAUUAAAACCUUCCUUUUUAAUUAGACAGAAAAGGGGAGAUGAUGUUGGAUGUCCUGUAUGCUGUGGAUAUAUGUUGCUUUUAUUGGUUGAUAAAUAAAGCUGAUUUGGCUAGUGGCCAGGCAGAAUAGAGCCAGGCAGGAAAUCCAAACAAAGAUUCAGAGAGAAAGAAGGCAGAGUCAGGAAGAUGCCAUGUAGCUGCUGAAGGGGUAACAUGUAUCACCCUGAGGUGAUACAAAGAUUAGUAAAAACGGGUUAAUUUAAUUGUGAGAGCUAAUUAAUAAUAUGCCUAAGCCAUUGGCCAAACAAUUACAACUAAUAUUAAGCCUCAGAGUGAUUAUUUUAUAAGCAGCUAUGAAACUGGACAGAAUGCAUAAAAUCUUCCAUUUACAGAUGAAACUUAGGGUCUCAUUCAUGUUAAAUAAAUACUUUACCAUCAAGUGACAUCCCCAACCCCAGCAUUACUCUUUUUCUUCAGGGCCUUUGUAAGGCCCUAGAUCUUGUUCCUCGGGGAACCCUAGCAAUUCUCUCUCCACUCCUGCCUUUUUGUGUUUUAAAAAAGUUUUCACUUCUUCCAAAAAUGUCUCUUAUACAACCCUUGAGGCCUGCUUGAGUAAUUUCCAAAUAAUCAUGAUAAAGUUUUAAUGACAUCAUGCAUUUCAGAAAGGGAAUUCAGUUAAACACUGCAAAGGGCCAAGCCCAAAAUUGGAAAUUUCCAUACUGAGGUAAUAUGCCUGUUCUUGUGCUAUGAAAAGGAAAGCAUUGAGGGCCUCUGUACCAAUCUGCUCUAACCACAGGCACAGGGGAGACAUCACACGUUUCUUCAGUUUCUGCUCAUAUUAAGAAAAUCCCUGUAUUGUCAAGUGUAAUAAUAGAAACAUGGCUUAGUGUCUUAUUAAAGAGUACCUCAUUGUUAUUUUCAAUAAACUCACUGUUGGCCCAGAGUCUUUCUUUUAACUGAUUCAUCACUUUCCUUUUUUUCUUUUUCUGUGGCCUCUUAACAUGUCUUCCUUCUAUCCCAGUACUUAUGGUGCACCCAGUGUUUCCUUAUCUGCUCUUCUUUAGGACUUCUUUGUUUUUUCUUCUUUGGUUUUGCAAGACAGGGUUUCCCUGUAGCUUUGGAGGCUGUCCUGGACAUCACUCUGUAGACCAGGCUGGCCUCAAACGCACAGAGAUCUGUUUGCCUCUACCUCUAGAGUGCUGGGAUUAAAGGCGUGCACCACCAAUGCUCCUCGGCCUUCUCUUAUCUUCUUAAUCUGUGGGUUGUGACCCUAUGUGGUGUUGUAUAACUGAAUGUAGGGGUUCUCAAUAAUUAGUCAUAAUCAAACAUAAAAUGAGUCUGAGGUGGUUUUCGAAGCUCUCUCCCAUGGUACAUUGCACAGAUUCACUACAGCUUUGGUUCUGAAUAUCCAACAUAUGUACUUUGUACUUUGCAUGCUCUUAUGCCAGCCAACAUCAAAGAAUUUGUCCUGAAACACCUUGGCUCAAAUUCAAGAUUAU